UACGGAAGGAGCAGUGGGGAAUAUUGCACAAUGGGCGCAAGCCUGAUGCAGCCAUGCCGCGUGUAUGAAGAAGGCCUUCGGGUUGUAAAGUACUUUCAGUCGUGAGGAAGGUGUUAAGGUUAAUAACCUUAGCAAUUGACGUUAGCGACAGAAGAAGCACCGGCUAACUCCGUGCCAGCAGCCGCGGUAAUACGGAGGGUGCGAGCGUUAAUCGGAAUUACUGGGCGUAAAGGGCACGCAGGCGGUUAAUUAAGUUGGAUGUGAAAUCCCCGGGCUUAACCUGGGAAUGGCAUUCAAGACUGGUUAGCUAGAGUCUUGUAGAGGGGGUAGAAUUCCAUGUGUAGCGGUGAAAUGCGUAGAGAUGUGGAGGAAUACCGGUGGCGAAGGCGGCCCCUGGACAAAGACUGACGCUCAUGUGCGAAAGCGUGGGGAGCAAACAGGGAUUAGAUACC
rnacentral:rRNA from 1 species